rnacentral:rRNA from 1 species
UACGUAGGGCGCGAGCGUUGUCCGGAUUUAUUGGGCGUAAAGAGCUCGUAGGCGGCUUGUCGCGUCGUCCGUGAAAACCUGCGGCUCAACUGCAGGCUGGCGGUCGAUACGGGCAGGCUGGAGUUCGGUAGGGGAGACUGGAAUUCCUGGUGUAGCGGUGAAAUGCGCAGAUAUCAGGAAGAACACCCGUGGCGAAAGCGGCUCUCUGGAAACGGUACUGGACGCUGAGACGGCGAAAGCGUGGGGAGCGAACAGG